GUAAGCGAGAAAGAGCGAGGAAGAGGCUGCUUAGUCCUUUGAGCUAUCCGGAUCCCUUAGAUGGUGCGGUAGCUUUUUUCCCAGGAGGCCAUGAAAUGAGUACUUUGCUUUGCUACAUGCUCCUGCUGUGAUGUGCCGCUUUGCCAGAGGUCCAUCCAAAGGCUACAGGACCAAUCAAUAAUGGACUUCUAGAGCCUCUUAAACUAUUGUGGAGUUGGACAUCUCCGUGGAGGUCACAAGAUCAAACCUCUCAGUUUAUGGAAAAGCAAUUGAUAGAAAAGCCUAGAGUGUCAAGUUAAUUGGACACACUGACAACAUUCAAACUUUCAACGUGAUAGACUGGAAGCCAGGCUAGAGAAAAACUUCUGGGUGUAAGAAAAUGUUACCAACCUAGAAGGAUAGCAGAAGACU